rnacentral:rRNA from 1 species
GUAGCAUACCGCUGACGACCGGCGCACGGGUGAGUAACACGUAUCCAACCUACCAUCCUUCAAAGGAUAGCCUUUCGAAAGAAAGAUUAAUACCCGAUUUUAUAGCGAUAAGGCAUCUUAUUGCUAUUAAAGAAUUUCGGUGUUUGAUGGGGAUGCGUUCCAUUAGAUUGUUGGUGAGGUAACGGCUCACCAAGUCUUCGAUGGAUAGGGGUUCUGAGAGGAAGGUCCCCCAUAUUGGAACUGAGACACGGUCCAAACUCCUACGGGAGGCAGCAGUGAGGAAUAUUGGUCAAUGGACGAGAGUCUGAACCAGCCAAGUAGCGUGAAGGAUGAAGGCCCUAUGGGUCGUAAACUUCUUUUAUAGGGGAAUAAAGUGCGGAACGUGUUCCGCUUUGUAUGUACCCUACGAAUAAGGAUCGGCUAACUCCGUGCCAGCAGCCGCGGUAAUACGGAGGAUCCGAGCGUUAUCCGGAUUUAUUGGGUUUAAAGGGAGCGUAGGUGGAUAUAUAAGUCAGUUGUGAAAGUUUGCGGCUCAACCGUAAAAUUGCAGUUGAUACUGUAUGUCUUGAGUGUACAAGAGGUGGGCGGAAUUCGUGGUGUAGCGGUGAAAUGCUUAGAUAUCACGAAGAACUCCGAUUG